CAAGUCGAACGAACUCUGGUAUUGAUUGGUGCUUGCAUCAUGAUUUACAUUUGAGUGAGUGGCGAACUGGUGAGUAACACGUGGGAAACCUGCCCAGAAGCGGGGGAUAACACCUGGAAACAGAUGCUAAUACCGCAUAACAACUUGGACCGCAUGGUCCGAGCUUGAAAGAUGGCUUCGGCUAUCACUUUUGGAUGGUCCCGCGGCGUAUUAGCUAGAUGGUGGGGUAACGGCUCACCAUGGCAAUGAUACGUAGCCGACCUGAGAGGGUAAUCGGCCACAUUGGGACUGAGACACGGCCCAAACUCCUACGGGAGGCAGCAGUAGGGAAUCUUCCACAAUGGACGAAAGUCUGAUGGAGCAACGCCGCGUGAGUGAAGAAGGGUUUCGGCUCGUAAAACUCUGUUGUUAAAGAAGAACAUAUCUGAGAGUAACUGUUCAGGUAUUGACGGUAUUUAACCAGAAAGCCACGGCUAACUACGUGCCAGCAGCCGCGGUAAUACGUAGGUGGCAAGCGUUGUCCGGAUUUAUUGGGCGUAAAGCGAGCGCAGGCGGUUUUUUAAGUCUGAUGUGAAAGCCUUCGGCUCAACCGAAGAAGUGCAUCGGAAACUGGGAAACUUGAGUGCAGAAGAGGACAGUGGAACUCCAUGUGUAGCGGUGAAAUGCGUAGAUAUAUGGAAGAACACCAGUGGCGAAGGCGGCUGUCUGGUCUGUAACUGACGCUGAGGCUCGAAAGUAUGGGUAGCAAACAGGAUUAGAUACCCUGGUAGUCCAUACCGUAAACGAUGAAUGCUAAGUGUUGGAGGGUUUCCGCCCUUCAGUGCUGCAGCUAACGCAUUAAGCAUUCCGCCUGGGGAGUACGGCCGCAAGGCUGAAACUCAAAGGAAUUGACGGGGGCCCGCACAAGCGGUGGAGCAUGUGGUUUAAUUCGAAGCUACGCGAAGAACCUUACCAGGUCUUGACAUACUAUGCAAAUCUAAGAGAUUAGACGUUCCCUUCGGGGACAUGGAUACAGGUGGUGCAUGGUUGUCGUCAGCUCGUGUCGUGAGAUGUUGGGUUAAGUCCCGCAACGAGCGCAACCCUUAUUAUCAGUUGCCAGCAUUAAGUUGGGCACUCUGGUGAGACUGCCGGUGACAAACCGGAGGAAGGUGGGGAUGACGUCAAAUCAUCAUGCCCCUUAUGACCUGGGCUACACACGUGCUACAAUGGAUGGUACAACGAGUUGCGAACUCGCGAGAGUAAGCUAAUCUCUUAAAGCCAUUCUCAGUUCGGAUUGUAGGCUGCAACUCGCCUACAUGAAGUCGGAAUCGCUAGUAAUCGCGGAUCAGCAUGCCGCGGUGAAUACGUUCCCGGGCCUUGUACACACCGCCCGUCACACCAUGAGAGUUUGUAACACCCAAAGUCGGUGGGGUAACCUUAGGAACCAGCCGCCUAAG
rnacentral:rRNA from 1 species